rnacentral:misc_RNA from 1 species
GAUGAAGAACGCAGCGAAAUGCGAUAAGUAAUGUGAAUUGCAGAAUUCAGUGAAUCAUCGAAUCUUUGAACGCUUCUUGCGCUCCUUGGUAUUCUGAGGAGCAUGCCUGUUUGAGUGUCAUUAAAUUCUCAACUACACUGACUUUGAAUUGGUGUGGCUUGGAUUUGGGGGGAAAAUUGUUGUGGGCUUUUUGUAUAGUCUGCUCCCCUGAAAUUGAUUAGCGGUACCUUUGUGGAACUGUCUACAGGUGUGAUAAUUAUCUACAUCUUAGACAUCUGCUGGAAUGCUGCUUUCUAAACCUUACUUGUAUUGACAAUCUUGACCUCAAAUCAGGUAGGACUACCCGCUGAACUUAAGCAUAUCAAUAAGCGGAGGA